CCGAGUUUACAAACUCCCAAACCCUUUGUGAACCUUACCUAUCGUUGCUUCGGCGGGAUCGCCCCGGCGCCUUCGGGCCCGGAACCAGGCGCCCGCCGGAGGCCCCAAACUCUAAUGUUUCUUAUUGUAACUUCUGAGUAAAACAAACAAAUAAAUCA
rnacentral:misc_RNA from 1 species